CGCCUCCAAACGAGCUUCGAAUCGGGGGACCUUUAAGCACGUGUUGAAGCUUAAGUGUCAGGGCACCAUCACUAGAGCCAAAUCCUCAAAACGUCCUUUGAAGAGCUGUCCAUGGUGGGGAGGAGGGACAGGGGACCCUGAGACGAGAAAAGCAAUCAUCGGGUCAGAAUCCGCCUCCAGGUCUCAGCGCUCGAGCGGCAACAAUGUUAAGAAGUGAUCAAAGAUCUGAAGCUGCUGCUGAGUUUAGACCCAACCUGAUGGUGUGGUGGUAGAACUUGAGCAGGUUGGACAGCUUGUAAAGCAGGACGGCGCCCGGCUCUGCUACAAUGACCUGUUCUAUCCGAACCUGAGGAAGAGAAACGGCGGGAAAAAUCAGCAAAGCAUCGAUCGACAAACAUCCGUCCGGAAGUUUGUCAAACGCUGAAGCGAUCGCUCACUUUUAGUGGCCUGCAGACGCCCUCUGUGAUGUGUCCAACCACUUCCUGCAUGUUCUCCUCCACACCUAACACACAAAAACUUUAAAAUCUGAGAUCAUAGUGUGUAAAUCACUGAACUAAUAAAUAUGCAGGUUUUUUUCCCCCCCAUUUCAAA